GCAUGUUUGCCAACACUCUGGUGCCAAAUUUUUCUGUUUUUGGUUCCUAUUUUGGUGCAAACUAGAUUCACCACGGCGGUCUACUCACCGUGAUAUCCUUUGUGGAUAUGAUGGUCCAUUUCAUCCGCAUACAU
rnacentral:snoRNA from 1 species